rnacentral:rRNA from 1 species
GACGAACGCUGGCGGCGUGCUUAACACAUGCAAGUCGAACGGAAAGGCCCUGCUUUUGUGGGGUGCUCGAGUGGCGAACGGGUGAGUAACACGUGAGUAACCUGCCCUUGACUUUGGGAUAACUUCAGGCAACUGGGGCUAAUACCGGAUAGGAGCUCCUGCUGCAUGGUGGGGGUUGGAAAGUUUCGGCGGUUGGGGAUGGACUCGCGGCUUAUCAGCUUGUUGGUGGGGUAGUGGCUUACCAAGGCUUUGACGGGUAGCCGGCCUGAGAGGGUGACCGGCCAAAUUGGGACUGAGAUACGGCCCAGACUCCUACGGGAGGCAGCGGUGGGGAAUAUUGCACAAUGGGCGGAAGCCUGAUGCAGCAACGCCGCGUGCGGGAUGACGGCCUUCGGGUUGUAAACCGCUUUCGCCUGUGACGAAGCGUGAGUGACGGUAAUGGGUAAAGAAGCACCGGCUAACUACGUG